rnacentral:rRNA from 1 species
UACAGAGGGUGCAAGCGUUAAUCGGAAUUACUGGGCGUAAAGCGCGCGUAGGUGGUUUGUUAAGUUGGACGUGAAAUCCCCAGGCUUAACCUGGGAACUGCGUGUGAUACUGGAUGGCUUGAAUCCGGGAGAGGGAUGCAGAAUUCCAGGUGUAGCGGUGAAAUGCGUAGAUAUCUGGAGGAAUACCGGUGGCGAAGGCGGCAUCCUGGACCGGCAUUGACGCUGAUGAGCGAAAGCUAGGGGAGCAAACGGG